rnacentral:rRNA from 1 species
GAUGAACGCUAGCGGCAGGCUUAACACAUGCAAGUCGAGGGGUAGAGGCUUUCGGGCCUUGAGACCGGCGCACGGGUGCGUAACGCGUAUGCAAUCUGCCUUUCACAGAGGGAUAGCCCAGAGAAAUUUGGAUUAAUACCUCAUAGCAUAACACAACAGCAUGGUUGAGUUAUUAAAGUCACAACGGUGAAAGAUGAGCAUGCGUCCCAUUAGUUAGUUGGUAAGGUAACGGCUUACCAAGACUUCGAUGGGUAGGGGUCCUGAGAGGGAGAUACCCCAAAAAGGUACUGCGACCCGGACCAGACUCCUACGCUAGGCAGCUGUGAGGAAUAUUGGGCAAUGGGCGCAAGCCUGAACCAGCCAUGCCGCGUGCAGGAUGACGGUCCUAUGGAUUGUAAACUGCUUUUGUACGAGAAGAAACGCUCCUUCGUGAAGGAGCUUGACGGUAUCGUAAGAAUAAGGAUCGGCUAACUCCGUGCCAGCCGCCGCGGUAA